rnacentral:lncRNA from 1 species
AAAGAGAGAAAUCCAUUGGUCCCCCCUCUUGUGUUCUGUGACGCAGAACGACUCGCAUCAUCCGUCCAAUAAAACGGUUCACUUUCCGACCAACGCGAGCACAAUAAUAAUGUGUCACUCAUCCUAUAAAAGAAUGCGUCUUGCUCUGUGAGUCUCUGUGUGAUCACUGAAGGCUGUUGUGGAUGUCUCAUGUAUCUCAUUUUUAUUGUUUAAAUGAGAAGUAUUGGAAGUAAACACAUGAACAGAUGAAGACACAAAGCAGUGAAACAUGAAGCUCAUCAGAUGGAGCAGCUCCAAAGAUAGACGACUGAAUUGUAAAGGAAAACAAACGCUGAUGUUAGUCAGAAGGAACAGCAUUCCUGGCAAAAGACCAAGCUUUUCUCAAGAUGCAGACGGCUUCAUUCUGAUGCUUCAGAAAGAGUCACAGACUCUCACACAUCAGACCCAGCAGCUGAUUUCUGAUCCUGGAGACUGAGCUUCCUAUAGAGUCCAGCUUUCUGGAGAUCAAGCCGGUGUUCCUGGAGAUUUGGUUUGGAGCUCAUCUUUGCAGGAGCAGGAUCAGGAUCCUGAGGGGAAACGGUGAUCAACAUGCACCUGAUAAUGUUAACUGUGUUUUAUAGUCCUAAAUUUAUCGUUCUUAGUGUGAACGGGGCUUUAGAAUGAGUUUUUAUACAGAUUCAUGUUAUUUUGAAUCACUGAUUACUGUAUGUAGUGCACUGCACACUGUAUGAUAUUAUAUGUAAUAUAGCAUGGUGCAGCAAUGCCAGUGUCAUAGGUUUAAAUCCCAGAGAAUGCAUGAAGUCAUAAGAUAUAUAGCUUUAACACAGUGAUUAUUAAACCCUUAUACUGCACACUUUUCAUUUCUCCUUAAAGUCUGAUGCAUGCAAUUAAGGUUGUGGGGUGAACUAGAAUACAAUUUUAUUUAUAAAACUGUAUUGCAAUAAAUCUGUACUACCCCAGGGAAUAAAACUGGUUUACACUUGUAAAAAAGAAAAAAAGGAACAAAGGCUCUUUAUUUAAACUGCUUGUUUGUUUAUUUUCAUGAUUAACUUUAUCUUUCAAUGGAUAAACAACAGCAAGAGUAAACAAUGUGUUUUGAUUGAACAUCAUUAAAGCAGGGAUCUGUUCUUUAAUGUACAAGAUCAGACAUUAAAACAUCUACAUGAAAUCAUCAGUAUUACACUUGAGAAAAAUCACAUCAACAUCUACAAUGGAAUCUAUAAGUGUAAAUUACAGGAGUGAUGCACAUUUUAUUCAGCCUGCCGAUUAUUAUAUAUUUUGACAUUAUACUAUGUCCUUAAAUUCAUUAUAGCACUAAUAAAGAGAUGCUUCAAACACAUUGUCACUUUAAUUAAAAAAUAUAGAUACAUACAUAUAUAUAUAUAUAUAUAUAUAUAUAUAUUCCAGUCAUCAAAAUCAAACAGAAAUGUAACUUAAUUUCAUAAAAACACACAAAUAAAACAUCCUGACACAGUAAUGAGAAUUUGGAGGUAAAAUUUAAAUAUCACGACAAUAAUGUCAAAAUGUAAAAAUAUAGCCUAUUAAUAGAACUGAAAUCCUGCUGCAAUUUAGACCUGGACAUGUUUCUUUGAGAUUCAUAUUUGUAUUUAUAAAAUCCAUAUCAUACAACAGCUGACAGAGUAAGAUGGGGAAGUUGCCGCAAGAACAAUGUGGAUUUACUUUUACAUUUUAAUUUUUAAAUAAAAGUUCAGUAUGUGCAGGAUGAUAAUACAUCAGCCAAUGUGUUAUUAAAUAAACAGAAACAUUUGCUAAUUUAGUUGUUAUAGCACAAGAUCUCAAAAUAUUUAUUUUGAGAUCACGGAAAAAUUAAGAUGACGAGAAAAUAACUUUUAAUAAGUCGUGAUGACGAGAAAACAAGAAAUAAAA